rnacentral:rRNA from 1 species
GGUAUAGACCCGAAACCCGGUGAUCUAGCCAUGGGCAGGUUGAAGGUUGGGUAACACUAACUGGAGGACCGAACCGACUAAUGUUGAAAAAUUAGCGGAUGACUUGUGGCUGGGGGUGAAAGGCCAAUCAAACCGGGAGAUAGCUGGUUCUCCCCGAAAGCUAUUUAGGUAGCGCCUCGUGAAUUCAUCUCCGGGGGUAGAGCACUGUUUCGGCAAGGGGGUCAUCCCGACUUACCAACCCGAUGCAAACUGCGAAUACCGGAGAAUGUUAUCACGGGAGACACACGGCGGGUGCUAACGUCCGUCGUGAAGAGGGAAACAACCCAGACCGCCAGCUAAGGUCCCAAAGUCAUGGUUAAGUGGGAAACGAUGUGGGAAGGCCCAGACAGCCAGGAUGUUGGCUUAGAAGCAGCCAUCAUUUAAAGAAAGCGUAAUAGCUCACUGGUCGAGUCGGCCUGCGCGGAAGAUGUAACGGGGCUAAACCAUGCACCGAAGCUGCGGCAGCGACACUAUGUGUUGUUGGGUAGGGGAGCGUUCUGUAAGCCUGUGAAGGUGGCCUGUGAGGGUUGCUGGAGGUAUCAGAAGUGCGAAUGCUGACAUAAGUAACGAUAAAGCGGGUGAAAAGCCCGCUCGCCGGAAGACCAAGGGUUCCUGUCCAACGUUAAUCGGGGCAGGGUGAGUCGACCCCUAAGGCGAGGCCGAAAGGCGUAGUCGAUGGGAAACAGGUUAAUAUUCCUGUACUUGGUGUUACUGCGAAGGGGGGACGGAGAAGGCUAUGUUGGCCGGGCGACGGUUGUCCCGGUUUAAGCGUGUAGGCUGGUUUUCCAGGCAAAUCCGGAAAAUCAAGGCUGAGGCGUGAUGACGAGGCACUACGGUGCUGAAGCGACAAAUGCCCUGCUUCCAGGAAAAGCCUCUAAGCAUCAGGUAACAUUAAAUCGUACCCCAAACCGACACAGGUGGUCAGGUAGAGAAUACCAAGGCGCUUGAGAGAACUCGGGUGAAGGAACUAGGCAAAAUGGUGCCGUAACUUCGGGAGAAGGCACGCUGAUAUGUAGGUGAAGCGACUUGCUCGUGGAGCUGAAAUCAGUCGAAGAUACCAGCUGGCUGCAACUGUUUAUUAAAAACACAGCACUGUGCAAACACGAAAGUGGACGUAUACGGUGUGACGCCUGCCCGGUGCCGGAAGGUUAAUUGAUGGGGUUAGCGGCAACGCGAAGCUCUUGAUCGAAGCCCCGGUAAACGGCGGCCGUAACUAUAACGGUCCUAAGGUAGCGAAAUUCCUUGUCGGGUAAGUUCCGACCUGCACGAAUGGCGUAAUGAUGGCCAGGCUGUCUCCACCCGAGACUCAGUGAAAUUGAACUCGCUGUGAAGAUGCAGUGUACCCGCGGCAAGACGGAAAGACCCCGUGAACCUUUACUAUAGCUUGACACUGAACAUUGAGCCUUGAUGUGUAGGAUAGGUGGGAGGCUUUGAAGUGUGGACGCCAGUCUGCAUGGAGCCGACCUUGAAAUACCACCCUUUAAUGUUUGAUGUUCUAACGUGGGCCCGUAAUCCGGGUUGCGGACAGUGUCUGGUGGGUAGUUUGACUGGGGCGGUCUCCUCCUAAAGAGUAACGGAGGAGCACGAAGGUUGGCUAAUCCUGGUCGGACAUCAGGAGGUUAGUGCAAUGGCAUAAGCCAGCUUGACUGCGAGCGUGACGGCGCGAGCAGGUGCGAAAGCAGGUCAUAGUGAUCCGGUGGUUCUGAAUGGAAGGGCCAUCGCUCAACGGAUAAAAGGUACUCCGGGGAUAACAGGCUGAUACCGCCCAAGAGUUCAUAUCGACGGCGGUGUUUGGCACCUCGAUGUCGGCUCAUCACAUCCUGGGGCUGAAGUAGGUCCCAAGGGUAUGGCUGUUCGCCAUUUAAAGUGGUACGCGAGCUGGGUUUAGAACGUCGUGAGACAGUUCGGUCCCUAUCUGCCGUGGGCGCUGGAGAACUGAGGGGGGCUGCUCCUAGUACGAGAGGACCGGAGUGGACGCAUCACUGGUGUUCGGGUUGUCAUGCCAAUGGCACUGCCCGGUAGCUAAAUGCGGAAGAGAUAAGUGCUGAAAGCAUCUAAGCACGAAACUUGCCCCGAGAUGAGUUCUCCCUGACCCUUUAAGGGUCCUGAAGGAACGUUGAAGACGACGACGUUGAUAGGCCGGGUGUGUAAGCGCAGCGAUGCGUUGAGCUAACCGGUACUAAUGAACCGUGAGGCUUAACCUU